ACGUAUCUCUGGCGGGUUGUGGUGCGCCCUGCUCCGGCCCAAACGGGCCGUGCAGCGGGCUCCCGCCCCGUCCAAACCUCACAAACCCACCGUGAACCUUUACGGCAGAGGGCCGCUUGCCCGACGCCGCAUACCAAACUCCAGUUUGAAAAGAAUGUUGUGCGGGCUCUGUACCGCCUAAACACAAAA
rnacentral:misc_RNA from 1 species